rnacentral:misc_RNA from 1 species
CGUGGAUGGGAGAUGUGCAGAAGUAGACGAUGUUCUUCCUGAUGGGUUUAGGAUGAAAAAGGGAGAUGGAUUGUACUACAUGGCCUAUGCCAUGGGCAGGAUGACUUAUAUUUGGGGAAAGGAUGCUGAGGAUUUUCGGCCAGAAAGAUGGCUCAGCAAUGGGAUUUUCCAACCUGAAUCGCCGUUUAAAUUCGUAGCAUUUCACGCUGGUCCUCGGAUAUGUUUGGGAAAAGAUUUUGCUUACCGACG